UGUGAAAUGUAGCUCUAAACCUCACUGGCCUAAGUGUUAGUGGAUGCUGUUUAUGCAGAAGGAUACAGUCUCCACUUCACGAGUGAGAAGACUGAGGAACAAAGUGAUAGGAUUCCAACUAAGACUGAAUUUGGGGGGAAAAAGGAGUUCUGCUGCUAAAACGCUUUGAAUACUACUAGGCAAGACAAUCUCUUAAGCACUCUCAGGUCUAAAAUGCUAAGAAACAAAAUGCGGCACUAGCAGUUUUUUCUUUUAGGUCAUGAAAAGUGGAGAGAAACAUCUUUGAAAACCCAUUCAACAUUACACCCAUUAGAUGGCUAUUAUUUUAAAAAAAUGAAGCAACAGAAAAUUACAAGUGUGAUGGUUAAUUUUCUGUGUCAACUUACCAGGGCCAUGAGGUCUCCAGACGCAAACAUGAUUCUGGGUGUGUCUGAGGUGUUUCUGGAUGUGAUUAACUUUUGGAUCAGUAGAGUGAAUAAAGCAGAUUGCCCUUCAUAAUGUGGCUGGAUCUCAUCCCAUGAACUGAAGAUCUGAAGAGAAUCAAAAGGCUGAUAAGUGAGAACUCCUCCUGCUGGAUGGCCUGGAGCUGGGGCAUUGAUCUUUUCUUGCCCUUGGACUUGAAUUGAAACAUCAACUCUUCCUCUGUCUUAAUCUUGCUGGCUUUUGGACUGGAACUUACAAACAAAAUGGGGCACUAGCAAAUAUGUUUUUCUUCUAGGUCCUGAAAAGUGGAGAGGAGCAACUUUAAAAACUAUUCAACAUCACAUCCAUUAGAUGGCUAUUAAAAAAGAAAGCAAUAGAAAAUUACAAGUGUGAUGGUUAAUUUUCUGUGUCAACAUGCCUUGGCCAUGAGGUCCCCAGAUGUUUGGGCAAACAUUAUUCUGGGUGUGUCUGAAUAAUGACUUCUAUUAUUAUAUUUAUUAUAUAAUGGCUUUGUUAUAUGUCCUGCUGGCUUUUGGACUGGAACUUACAAAAUAUGGCACAUUGCCUUUCCUGGGUUUCCAACUUGCUGACUAUAAAUCUUGGGACUUUUCAGCAUCCAUAACCAUGUAAGCCA